rnacentral:lncRNA from 1 species
GCAGCCCCCAGUAGCUUGGGCUUAAUAAUAACUCCAUUCUUUUUUAUUUAAAAAAAGUGGGGAGGGAUGGAGGAGGGAAGCUGUGGAGAGCAGGGGGAGGAGGGAAAUCGUUUCAGGACAUCCGGAGUAGCCCAGGAUGAAGAAGAUAUAAAGGUUAAGGUUGUGGUAUCAUGUCCAUUUUUCGUAGAAGCCCGUUUCAGCGGCGGGUGAGGAAUGGUGUGCAUUCUCGAAGCGACACGCCAGCGAUUCUAAAGCCCUCGUUUAGACCUUAGCUCGCGAGGAGAGUCCAAGACGCUAGCUUUAGCAGCCUGAUUCACCCUAGGGGGCAGCGCCCUUUGACCCACUCCACUCUCGGCUGCCUGACCCUUGUCAUUUCUCGCUGCGGGGGGAGAGGAGGGGAGGAGGAGGCUGUGGCCUCUAGGGGAAGAGGGAUGGAGAAUGCUGGCAGCGACGGCAGCGUGGUAACUCUACCCAGGGCUCUCAAGCUGCGGUUGGUGAGUUUCCAGCAGGAAAGUCAAUCAGUAAACAGCCCCGUGCGCCCCCAGUUCCACUCCCCACCCCCUUCAUUUUCCCUGGGCUGGCUGGGAACCUCACCCAGACACCAACAUAUCCCGCCCUCUCUCAGGCUCCCCGGCCGCGAUCGGAGAAGGGAACUGCAACAAGACUAUUGUGGCAGGGCCUGGGCUCUGGAAACAGUUCUCCUCCCUUCUCCGCCCCCCCUCCCCGAACCACUCUACCCCCACUGCCGCCUUGGCCCCUGGAGUUGGUGUUCUGAAGGAGAGGCGCGGGGUGCAGAGAGAAGGGGAGGGCAAACUGCCGCCCCCCACCCCACCCCCUCCUAGUUGAAUGUCAGCUUUGUUCCGGAAAACAAGGGAAGCAUUAGGCUGCUGCCCCCGGGGGAAACACAAAACUUCUUUUUGAAUCUCUGGAAGGACGGCUGACUGCGCUACGGGGCUCCUGGGAGAGAGGCCGAGACAGGAGAGGGAGCUAGCAGGGAAAAGAGUGCAGAAGAGAAGACACGGGGAGACACUCAACUGAGAGACAGAGACAAAGGCGAGCGAGUCGAAGAAAGAACGAGUAAGACGGAGACUAAAGGAGAAUUACACGGAAGGGGAGAAACCCUGGGAGACAGUGAAUCCUCGGCCGUGACAUAGAACAAGAGGAGAGGCCAAGUCUGGCCGGGAGGUGGGGGAGGGGAGCGGCGAACUAAGUCUCCGGCCAGCUCGAGUUCGGCGCAAAGGUGCUGUUCUGCCGAGAGACCGGCCCCGGCCAAGUGGCUGUUACCCAGCCGAGUGUAUGCGCGCCAGCUUCCUGCCCGGCCCCGAGCGGAGGAGCAGCCUGGGACGCUGCAGGCUCGGCCGGAAUCGCUGGGAGGCCGGGAAGCCGCGAGCAUUCACCGAGAAGUGGCACUUUGCCAUCCUGGGGAUGGAAGCGGCCUCGCUAGACCAGGCCUAAAAACCAUGAACCAAAGACACCAGCUCUAGCUCCAGAAUUAGCCACCCCUCUAUCCCGCACCACACUUCGUGGCAGCCGCACUCCGGGGGUUCCUUUCCUCCCUUCCCCCUCCUCCCCACGUUCUCCCGCUCCUGGGCCCCAUCACUGGUAAAAUGAAAGGGAAAAGGCUGUUAACAACUCUCUGUAGGAAACCUGGAAUUGGUCUUAGUCUCUGGGCUUGAUCCUUUGCACCCACUUAGUGUUGCAGGUUGCUUUGCCUCCCAGAGGAGCAAAAGGGGAAGCUUCCAGAGUUGAAGUGGUUCACAGAAAGAUGAUCCUGUAGUAAGUGAAUCCUCCAGCAAAUGUUAACGUAUAUUUAUUUUUCCAUUGAUGGUUUUAAUAUUCGCAAUCCUGGCCUCAGAGUGCAAAUGAACUCUUUAUCUGGGGGCAAGAAUUACAGUUUGCUUGAACUCACUUCCCCCCUCAUUCCCCUACUCCUUGGUUUCCCUGCUAGAUUUUCAAAACCCACUUUCUCCAGGGCUGUCUUUCUGAGAACUUUGACCCUGACCAGGGCCUAAGUCCUUGGCUAUAUCCAUGCGGUAGAGGCGAGAACGUUUUCCAUGCGUUCUCCCCUCUGACUCAGUAAUUCAGUUUGAGAACGAGAUUCUCCGCGUCUCCCUCUUCUCCUCCCCCCCCUCCCACCCCCGCCUUAACUCACUUGGUUUUUAACUUCCCCUAAAUCUCCCUUCUUGCUCAGAAAGGCACAGAGGAGGGGAAACCGAGAGGAAACACGCUGCCGCUGUGCGAAAUGCGGACCAUGUGUGGGAACGAUCCAGUCAAAGUGCAACUGCCAGCCAGGGGCAGUUGUGUGGGGGUGGGGCGGGAAGGGGAGAUUGGUUCUGAGUGUGGAAAGGGAGGGUCUGGGAGCUGGUUUAGGGAGAGGGGCGUCGGUGGGAGCGACAGAGCAGCAGACACUUUUAUUCUUCCGGGUGGGCAGACGUUAGACUCUCCCCGCCCCCAGCCCCCAUUCUUGUUAAGAAUCCUUUCUCUCGUGUCUUUUAUGGUAGGUGAUGAGCUAUGGAGGCUGCCGAAGUAAUAUCAGCAGUAGUGAGAUUAAGCUAAAGGAUACACUCUAGUUUACAGAGCUGAGGCAGCGGCCUAGGGUGAAAGAGCAAAAGGCCCUCUUUUCGACAGUUCAGAGGCUAGAAGGUUAUAGCAGCUUGAGUAUCAACAAAGGGAGACUGGGAAGAGAGAAGAGCCAGGGAAUGGAAGAUGAGCCACUGGGAGAGGAAGAGGGGGCAGCUGCUAAGAGCUCU